rnacentral:rRNA from 1 species
GAUGAACGCUGGCGGCGUGCUUAACACAUGCAAGUCGAGCGAAGCGCUUUUGCGGAUUUCUUCGGAUUGAAGCAACUGUGACUGAGCGGGCGACGGGUGAAGGUACGCGUAGGUAACCUGCCUCAUACAGGGGGAUAACAGUUGGAAACGGCUGCUAAUACCGCAUAAGCCCACAGCUCGGCAUCGAGCAGAGGGAAAAGGAGUGAUCCGCUUUGAGAUGGCCUCGCGUCCGAUUAGCUGGUUGGUGAGGUAACGGCCCACCAAGGCGACGAUCGGUAGCCGGACUGAGAGGUUGAACGGCCACAUUGGGACUGAGACACGGCCCAG